rnacentral:sRNA from 1 species
CUGACAAUCUGGGGAGGCAGAAGCUGUUUGGAGUGUUUCCUCCUCAGCUUUUUGAGGGUGAUAGCAAGUUAACAAUGUCUGUGUGUGCCUCAGAUAGACAUGGUGGGGAGGGUCUCCUCUGAGACAGUAUGGCAAAGAGAAAGAAAUGGUAGGGAGGGGGACAGAUCACAUGUUUAAGGUGUACCUGCCCAGGGCUGCAAAUGAGAAAGGUGACACAGCUUUCAAUGAUUUUUUUUCAGACCCUAGUUAGGGAAGGAGAGAUUGUCCAUUCUUGAAAUCUUGGAUCCCUGGGACUGACAGGGCUGCACGGGCUCUCUCCCUGUAGGCAUCGGCCCUGAUGGACACAUUGCCUUCAACGAGCCAGGCUCCAGUCUGGUGUCCAGGACCCGUGUGAAGACGCUGGCCAUGGAUACCAUCCUGGCCAAUGCUAGGUUCUUCGAUGGAGAACUCACCAAGGUGCCCACCAUGGCCUUGACGGUGGGGGUGGGCACUGUCAUGGAUGCUAGAGAGGUGAUGAUCCUUAUCACAGGUGCUCACAAGGCAUUUGCUCUGUAC